rnacentral:rRNA from 1 species
CAACUCGAGUGCAUGAAGCUGGAAUCGCUAGUAAUCGCGGAUCAGAAUGCCGCGGUGAAUACGUUCCCGGGUCUUGUACACACCGCCCGUCACACCAUGGGAGUCGGGAAUGCCCGAAGCCGGUGGCCCAAUCGAAAGAAGGGAGCCGUCGAAGGCAGGCCGGAUGACUGGGGUGAAGUCGUAACAAGGUACC